rnacentral:rRNA from 1 species
CUCAGGAUGAGCGCUGGCGGUAUGCUUAACACAUGCAAGUCGAACGGUCUCUUCGGAGAUAGUGGCGGACGGGUGAGUAACGCGUGAGAAUCUGGCUCUAGGUCUGGGACAACCAUUGGAAACGGUGGCUAAUACUGGAUGUGCCUUUUGGGGUGAAAGAUUAAUUGCCUGGAGAUGAGCUCGCGUCUGAUUAGCUAGUUGGUAGGGUAAGAGCUUACCAAGGCGACGAUCAGUAGCUGGUCUGAGAGGACGAUCAGCCACACUGGGACUGAGACACGGCCCAGACUCCUACGGGAGGCAGCAGUGGGGAAUUUUCCGCAAUGGGCGAAAGCCUGACGGAGCAAUACCGCGUGAGGGAGGAAGGCUCUUGGGUUGUAAACCUCUUUUCUCAGGGAAGAAUAAUGACGGUACUUGAGGAAUCAGCAUCGGCUAACUCCGUGCCAGCAGCCGCGGUAAUACGGAGGAUGCAAGCGUUAUCCGGAAUGAUUGGGCGUAAAGCGUUCGCAGGUGGCAUUGAAAGUCUGCUGUCAAAGAAUCUGGCUCAACCAGAUAAAGGCAGUGGAAACUUCAAAGCUAGAGUGCGGUAGGGGCAGAGGGAAUUCCUGGUGUAGCGGUGAAAUGCGUAGAGUUCAGGAAGAACACCGGUGGCGAAAGCGCUCUGCUAGACCGCAACUGACACUGAGGGACGAAAGCUAGGGGAGCGAAUGGGAUUAGAUACCCCAGUAGUCCUAGCCGUAAACGAUGGAUACUAGGCGUUGCUUGUAUCGACCCGAGCAGUGCCGUAGCUAACGCGUUAAGUAUCCCGCCUGGGGAGUACGCACGCAAGUGUGAAACUCAAAGGAAUUGACGGGGGCCCGCACAAGCGGUGGAGUAUGUGGUUUAAUUCGAUGCAACGCGAAGAACCUUACCAAGGCUUGACAUGUCCGGAAUCAGAGUGAAAGCUCUGAGUGCCUUCGGGGGCCGGAACACAGGUGGUGCAUGGCUGUCGUCAGCUCGUGUCGUGAGAUGUUGGGUUAAGUCCCGCAACGAGCGCAACCCCCGUUUUUAGUUGCCAGCAUUAAGUUGGGCACUCUAGAGAGACUGCCGGUGACAAACCGGAGGAAGGUGGGGAUGACGUCAAGUCAGCAUGCCCCUUACGUCUUGGGCUACACACGUACUACAAUGCGAUGGACAAAGGGCAGCAAGCUAGCAAUAGCAAGCAAAUCUCGGAAACCAUCGCUCAGUUCAGAUCGAAGGCUGCAACUCGCCUUCGUGAAGUCGGAAUCGCUAGUAAUUGCAGGUCAGCAUACUGCAGUGAAUUCGUUCCCGGGCCUUGUACACACCGCCCGUCACACCAUGGAAGCUGGUAGUGCCCGAAGUCAUUACCCUAACUGUUCGCAGAGGGGGAUGCCCACGGCAGGACUGGUGACUGGGGUGAAGUCGUAACAAGGUAGCCGUACCGGAAGGUGUGGCUGGAUCACCUCCUUUAUAGGGAGACCACUGGAUGAUGAAGAAGCAAUAAGCGAGAAUUCAGCAUUACAGACAUCCCGAGGUCGGUCGUCAACAGUUGAUAGUGCUUUUCAACUAUAUUAUUAACGGGGUGUUAUGAACAUCCCGUUGAAUCAAGGGGAAAAAAAGGAAAUAAAAACAAGGGCUAUUAGCUCAGGUGGUUAGAGCGCACCCCUGAUAAGGGUGAGGUCCCUGGUUCGAGUCCAGGAUGGCCCACCUUGGUCUGAAAAAACCUUCAGCAGAAAAACUCCGGAAACGGGGAAGAAAGUGGUGAAGAUGAUUGAGAAAGCCCAGUGGCAGCGCCAAAAAGUAAAAGGUUGAACUAGCAACAAGACGUCUAGAACGUCGGACUGCUGGUAGAGACCAGCCAGAACCUUGAAAACUGCAUAGAGACGCGAAAAAAGCUCUUAGUGACUGUUAAUAGUUAAUAGUUAAUAGUUGAUGGCAAGAGCAAUUAACUUUUAACAAUCAACGAUUAACACAGAACAAAAGCAAUUGGCCAAGCGAAGAAGGGCUCAUGGUGGAU